UGUGCUUUUAGGUAUACCAAGCUUGGCUACGCAGGCAACACUGAGCCACAGUUCAUUAUUCCUUCAUUCAGUAGAGCAUGAUAAAGGAAGAAAUGUCCUGACAUUUUGGGAAGAGUGCGUCCUGCCCACUCUUUAUUCACAGGAGACCCCAAGGUCAGAGCCUUCGUUCACAAGGUGAAGUUCAAGAUGCCAAGUGGCUUCCAAAGAGAAAAGGUGGAGCUUUUGUGUAUGUGUGUGGAUGUGUGGUAUUGCCAUCAGAGAGUCGGCAAAGGUGGUCGACCAAGCCCAAAGGAGGGUGCUGAGGGGAGUUGACGACCUGGACUUUUUCAUUGGGGAUGAAGCCAUAGAUAAACCCACGUACGCCACGAAGUGGCCGAUAAGACAUGGAAUAAUUGAAGACUGGGAUCUAAUGGAGAGGUUCAUGGAACAAGUGAUUUUUAAAUAUCUCCGAGCUGAACCUGAGGACCACCACUUUUUGAUGACAGAACCUCCCCUGAAUACACCAGAAAAUAGAGAAUAUCUUGCAGAAAUUAUGUUUGAAUCAUUUAAUGUACCAGGACUCUACAUUGCAGUUCAGGCAGUGCUGGCCUUAGCUGCGUCCUGGACAUCGCGACAAGUUGGCGAACGCACGUUAACAGGAAUCGUCAUUGACAGCGGCGAUGGGGUCACCCACGCUAUCCCGGUGGCGGAAGGUUAUGUAAUUGGAAGCUGCAUCAAACACAUCCCGAUUGCAGGUAGAGAUAUUACGUAUUUCAUUCAACAGCUGCUAAGGGAGAGGGAGGUGGGAAUCCCUCCUGAGCAAUCACUGGAGACCGCAAAGGCCAUUAAGGAGAAGUACUGUUACAUUUGCCCUGAUAUAGUCAAGGAGUUUGCCAAGUAUGACAUAGAUCCGCGGAAGUGGAUCAAACAGUACACAGGGAUCAAUGCCAUCAACCAGAAGAAGUUCGUUAUAGAUGUUGGCUACGAAAGGUUCCUGGGCCCUGAAAUUUUCUUUCACCCAGAGUUUGCCAACCCGGAUUUUAUGGAGUCCAUCUCAGAUGUUGUUGACGAAGUAAUACAGAACUGUCCCAUCGAUGUCCGUCGUCCGCUGUAUAAGAGUGCCUUCCCCGCAGCACCUCAGGUCGCUGGGUGCCCCGGCCAGGCCAAGCUGACACAGAAGAUUGACCACCGUGGGAGCAGGAGGGAAGGGCUGAAGAAAGAAGAGAAGUAACGCUCCGGAGUCAAGGGAAGACAGCUGCCAUCAGCCGCGUCAGGUGACGCUGAGAUGAGGCCCCGCAGCCCCGAGGCCACGAGCGUCGCGUGGGUGUCUGCUAGGACAGUGUGGGUGCUGCACUGUCCAAGGUUUAGAAACAGGUGGCACACGUCAGGCGGGAGAGCCUUGGGGACUCCACGCUGUCGCCUGGAAGUGAGUGUGCAGGAGGCCCCUCGUCCAGCUUCCUUCCUGCCAAGUCUCAGCUCCUGCAGCCUCUUCAGUGAGGCCUCAACUCAAAGUAGCCCUCCCUCCACCACUUUCUGUUAUAUCGCCCUGUCUUAAAAAUGCAGCUUUGAGAUAUAAUUACAUACAAUAAGCCGCAUCUGCUUUAAGUGUACAGUUUGAAGAGUUUGACACGUUUACAAAGCCAUGUAGCCACCACCACAGCUCAGACACAGGACAGAACCGUCACCUGCGAGAGGCCCCCUGCCCUCAGCCCCAGCCCCGGGGAGCUGGUCUGCCUCCCGGGAGCACAGGUGAGACACGAACCCCCGGAGUCUCGCAGACGUGGGCUCGUGCGGUGAGUUCUCUGUUUCUGACUCCUUUUCCUUAGUUCAUGUUUUCGUGUUGCCGGUGACGUAGUUCAUUCCUCUCUAGUGCCGAGAGGCGUCUGCUGUGUGGAGUUGCCAGUGUGCCCACUGUUGGGAAUUUGGGUUGUUUCCAGUUUUUGGCUGCUUCAGAAAACCUGCUGUGAACAUUUGGGUACAGUCUGUGUGGGUAUGUUUUAUUCCCUUGGGUGGGUACUUAGGCACGCAGUUGCUUUGUCCUAUGGCAAGUGUGUGUCUGACUUAAUAAAAACUCCUGAACUUUUCCCACAGUGGUCAUACCAUUUUCACCCCCACCAACGAUGUACAGGAAUUUCAUUUGUUCAUAUUUUAACCUGAAGUUGGUGUGUAAUGGCUGUAAUUUGUAUGGUCCUGAUUGCAAAUGCUGUUGCCUGUCUUGUCAGGCACGUAGUGGUCACUUUGUGUCUUCUUUUGUGACAUGUCUCUCUGAAUCUUUCGCCCAUAUUUUGUUGGCUUGUUUAUCUUAUUGAGUUGUAAGGGUUCUUUUUAUAUUCUGGACACAAGUCCUUCGUUAGAUGUGUAAGUGCUUUUUCCUAGUCUGUGGCUCAUCUUUUCAUUUUCUUAGUGAUAUCUUUUGAAGAACAGUUUUCAUUUUAUGAAGUCCAGUGUAUCCAUUUUUAUUUUUAUGGUUCAUACUUUUUGUAUCCUAUCAGAGACACCUUUGCCUAUGUCAGAGUCAUGAAGAUUUUAAGAAAAUAUUUUCUUCUGGAAGUCCUGUAAGUUUUAGCCUGUACAUUUAAACUUACGAUCCAUAUUGAGUUAAGUUGUGUGUGUGAAGUAAGGCAGUAAGUAAAUGUUCCUCCCGCCACGGAUGCUAAUUGUUCAGCAUCUUUCCCUGCUGAAGUACCUUGGCAGUUUUGUCUGUAAUUGUUUUACCAUGUACACAGCACUGUUUUUAUUGUGUGAAUGAAUGAAAAAAGUGAACCUUAUAUGUAAUGUAUUUGAAGGCAACUCAAGAUCUUGCAGUGCUUCUGAAGUAUCAUGAUGAACAUUCAUUUUCAUACUCUGGUGAAUUAAUUUCUAAUUGAAAAACCCAUUACAGAGAUAUGACAAGUAAUUGCAAUAACUGACCCAAGACUGUAUCCUGGGCCGGAGAGAAAGAUGCUGUAAAGAGUGUUCCUAGAGCAGGUGACAGAAUUGGAAUGGCAGUAAAGGAUUAGAGAAAGGUUUUGUAUUAAUACAAGUUUAUGAAGUUGAGACUUGUUUUCUGAGGCUUCUUUUAAGGUACGAUGACGAGGAUGCAUUUAAAUUGUGAUUUUUAGGAGCAAACAGGUAUGCAGUUUAUGUGCAAGUGUUACCAGGUGAAGAGACCUGUCUUCAAGAAGACAGGGAUGGGAGCGCCUUGUUUUACCUUAUUUAAGGUGGCUGUCUGACCUGCCAGGGGCUUGGUGCUGCCCACCUUCCCACCGGCCCUGUCAGGAUGCGAGGAUGCAGUCAGUGAGCGGGGGUGCCCUGAGGGCGGUGCUUUUGUAACUGCAGCAGCCGUGCGCAGCCCCUGGACUCUGACAGGCACCGAACCCUCGCCUGUUGUGUCUGAGAUGUUUCUCCGCCGGCGGCAGUGUGGCGGUGAUUAUCUGUGGCGUUGGUCCUGGGGCAGGAUGCUACCUGAAAGAUCUAGGUUUGCAGUUAAGAAGUGAUAGACGUCCGGUGGUCAGCGUGGGGAGGGGUGUUGGUGGGAGACCCUCCCUGGAGAGCCGGGACGGGCGGCGGCAGACAGGUGGGUACACAGGGAACGGGCACGCGGGUGCGCGCCUGGUCCUGGCGGCAGGCGGCCUUCCCUGGGUGCUUUUCUGCCAUUAGAUGUUCUGGGGGCUCUUGUGUGUAGCACUGCUUUCCUGGGUGGGGGCAGCCGCAAGCUGUCGGUCGGGGCUCUGAGCACCCGCGGAGUCUCCCCCACUGGGAAGAGCCAGGAAAGGUUUAGCUCAGACCCGCCCCUCAUUCCCGGCCCCAAAGACCAAGCCCAGAGCCUCCCUUAAAACAGGCUGCACUUGAGGCUCUCGGGGGUGGUGGGACACGUUUGUCCUGCUGGAGGCCUUGUGGAGGCUCUGGCGCUGACACGUGUCUCCAGCUCCGCAGCUGGAGAGCUUGUUCCACUUGACCCACAGUCAGCAGGUCAUGGAGGUGAAACUGCUCCCUGCAGACACUGGGGGGUGGGGCGUAGGUCCCCAGUGGACACAGCAUCACUGGGUCCUCAUGGUCCUGCUCCCUUCCUGCUCCCCCGAUGUCACCUGCUAAUCCCGAGUCUGAGUGGGGGGUUCACAAGGAAGGAGGACGGUCCCUUCCUGCUCAGCGCUGGCUGGGAGGGGCAGUAGGAGGCCGGGGAGGACCCUUCUCGUCUACUCACCUGUCACCCGGUCACCGGGGCCAGGAGGCGCGUUUCCCCAGACCCGCAGUCUUGGUGAGGGAUUUACCGUUCAGACACAGACACGGCUUCCUGGAGGAGUCCUGACCCGGGCAGUCAGGGGGCUCUGGGCUGCUGGGGGGCUCGAAGGGGAGCUUUCUUGGCUCUGUGAAGAGUUGCUUGAUUUUCUUCUCUGGUUUUCUCAAGUCAUAUUUUCUGUAAGAAGGUGAAGUCAGAAUACACUUAACUUCACUUUCAUCGUCCUAAGUAAUAUCCUGCAGCCUGGAAGAUGUGGCUUUACCUCUCACCAGAGGCUGGUAAGAGGGUUAUGCAGCCACACCCCCCCCACCCCCCCCCCGUCCACACACUGGCUCCUGCGUGGCCGCUUGGCCCUUCUCGCGUCUCAGCGGGGUGGAAGGGCGGGCGGCAGGGGUGUCCCCGCUCACUUGGAUGUGCCCCCUCCCCCAGCCCCCAGCAAGCCCUGCUGGUAAGGCCUGGGGGUGGGUUGGAAGGCUCCUCCCCGGUGAUCACUAAGGCAAAACAGGUAAAGGUCAAGUGUUAGUUUGGCCUUAGAUUUUUAUUGUAACAACUCAUUUAUCGAUUUACAGUUUGUUUUGGCCUCCUGGACCUUGCAGAGCUUCGCACUGUCCAGAGGGAGCACGUGGGAGCAGACUUGCUCUAUGCUUUCACUUGGUUACAGUUGAGGAAAAGCACUGAGACAGAGAAUUUGUGACUCAAG